rnacentral:rRNA from 1 species
UACAGAGGUCCCAAGCGUUGUUCGGAUUCAUUGGGCGUAAAGGGUGCGUAGGCGGCGCGGUAAGUCGGGUGUGAAAUCUCAGGGCUCAACCCUGAAACUGCACUCGAUACUGCUCUGCUUGAGGACUGGAGAGGAGACUGGAAUUCACGGUGUAGCAGUGAAAUGCGUAGAUAUCGUGAGGAAGACCAGUGGCGAAGGCGGGUCUCUGGACAGUUCCUGACGCUGAGGCGCGAAGGCCAGGGGAGCAAACGGG